CCCUAUGUGGCUCAGUAGUUAGAGUAUUGGGCCCACAUACCAAAGGGUUGUGGGUUCGAUUCUCAGUCAAAGGCA
rnacentral:tRNA from 1 species